AUGCGGCAGCGGCAGCUCGCGGCGGCGGCGAGGCCCAGUUCGCGUUCUCCGGCGUCCUCGCACGACCGGCGCGACAUCCCGCCGGAUCUUUUCAGACUCUGCUUCAAGUGUUUUCGGGAGGGUCAUCGUCCAGAAGACUACACCUUUCAGCCGCUUUGCAUCCGCUGCGGGCUGGAAGGGCACAUCUGUUCGGGGUGCACGCGCCCCAGGAGUCCACGUUCGGAGGAGGAGCUCCGGCGCGAUGCCAUGGCUAAGGUUGCGCGCCACGGCCAGCAGCUGCCGCCAGCGGGACUUGCGGGCAGGCUGUCGCCGGCGACUAGGCAAGUCUCCCCUUGGGACGGCCCUCGUCAGUCGCGGUGGACACCGUACCUGUGGGGUCUUGGCUGGCGCCGCCAGCUGCGGCCAGUGAUGUAUGUGUCAUCUCGCGGACUCCGGAGAUGGACGACAUGGAGUGGCGCCUCCGUUUAG
rnacentral:rRNA from 1 species